UUGGUUUGUGUCUGUGGCAAAGGAAUUCAACAAUACUUUCAUUUUCAGGUCAGACUAUUUUAAGAAAAUAGAAGACUAUCAUUUACAGCUGGUAUGGCCCUGUGGUGGUGUGGACCCAGACUUCAAACACAGAUGAAGAUCGAAAACUGAUGUCCCGCAUCUGAUAUCAAAAGUUGAAGAAAGUGAACAAAAACAGCAGAGGAAAGUUCAUAAAAGCAGGACGAGUUGCAGAAAAACUCCUCAGACACCGGAUUAAAGAAGGAAGAGGUUUUUUAUUUGUCCGGGAGCGUCGGCAGACUCGCGUCUUAAGAGCCGAGCUCCCCGAAAAAGAAAUUCCUAGCCCUUUUAAGGCCUUACAACUCUAAGGAGUCUACGUGAAAGAGUCAUAAUAGAUCAAACAAAUUAAGAAUUCAGAGCCCAAUCCUAACUUCAAGCCAAGAAGUAAAAAAAGGAAGAAAAAAUCAAGACGCUCAGAACAGAACUCCAGCAAUAUUGAACCCAGGAGCAUGGACCCUCGGGCUGCUCAUAGAUUUCAGGAUCUUUUCCACUACUUCCACAGGCAGAUAGAGGGCCAUCCCCACCACCAUCUCUACCACCACCGUCUCUUCCCAGAGGAGUUUUUACUCCUCCUCCAACUCCUUUACCUGAACUAAGUGGUAAACCGUCAUCAUCACCAUCACCUUUAGAGACCUCCUCUACCACUACCUUUGUUGAGAGACCUACUCUCCAGGAUCCCCACCUGCUCUGUCUUAUGGAGUGAAACAGAAAUAAAUGUG